rfam:Bacillus manliponensis strain JCM 15802 contig44, whole genome shotgun sequence.
CCCUCGGAGAGUUAUAUCAAACCGUAGUAGCUUCGGCAAGGCGGGACUCGUUGAACAGGGAA